CAACAGGUGUGUGUGUGUGUGUGUGUGAAACACUCUUAGAUUGUCCUAGUUUCUGUUUGACUUUAAACUCCUUCUCGCACUUGCACGUUCAAUCGCGAUCAUUUUGCCCGGCCGUUUCUAUCCUUGACUUAGUUUUAUGUGCCUGGCUUUAGUUACCGUUUCGGCGAGCGCACGCAGGCUAUUCAACGCCUGGAAAGGAUAUAUGUGGUCCGCGCUGGUCGAUUCUCACGUUGUUGACUUUGAGUUGUUGCAAUUCUUUUCUAGAUUCGAGUUUCCUGAUUUUAUUUUCUCCAAACUCGGCGACCUUUGCUGGUUUUGUAGUUUAACGUGCUUCUUUCUUUUUCAGCAUUCUGAUUCUCGCUCCCUUAUCUCGGUCGGCUAUCACUUGCAGGGAUUCUCGCGAUGCACCGAGUAGCAAAUGCAGGAAAUGCAUCUAACGCAGCUCGCACUAGCAAGGAGAAGAGGUUGACAUAUGUUUUAAACGAUGCAGACAAUACAAAGCAUUGUGCUGGCAUAAAUUGCGUGGCUGUAUUGAAGUCAUCUGGACCAGAGGGAUGCGAUUACCUCUUCACUGGUAGUCGUGAUAGCACAUUAAAGAGAUGGUCAUUAGCUGAUGAUGGUGCAACCUGCUCAACAACAUUUGAGUCUCAUGUUGAUUGGGUCAAUGAUGUCAUACUAACAGGUGGUAAGGUGUUGGUAUCUUGCUCCUCAGAUGCCACUGUUAAGGUGUGGAAUAGUUUGUCUGAUGGAACAAGUGCUAGGACAUUCCGUCAGCACUCUGACUUUGUCACUUGCCUUGCUGCAGCAGAGAAAAAAAGCAAUCUUGUUGCCUCUGGUGGCCUUGGUGGGGAGGUUUUCAUUUGGGAUAUUGAAGCCACACUUGCUCCCCUCUCCAAAUUGAAUGACGUAGAUGAAGAUUAUAGUUCUACAACUGCCAAUGGUAUGGGUUCCUCAAUGACGCAUACAAGUCUUCAGCCUACCAGCUCAAGCAAUAACAUUUCAAAGCCUGCUACUCAAUGUCAAGGAUAUGUUCCCCUUGCCGCAAAAGGCCAUAAAGAGUCAGUUUAUGCAUUAGCCACCGAUGAUUGCGGAACACUGCUUGUUUCUGGUGGAACUGAGAAGGUCGUGCGUGUUUGGGACCCAAGGACUGGUUCUAAAACCAUGAAGCUUAGAGGGCACACAGAUAACGUUAGGGCGCUACUAUUGGAUUCCUCUGGCAGAUAUUGCUUAUCUGGGUCCUCUGAUUCGAUGAUCAGGUUAUGGGAUCUUGGCCAGCAGCGAUGCGUGCAUUCCUAUGCUGUGCACACAGACUCUGUGUGGGCACUUGCUAGCACUCCAACAUUUAGUCACGUUUAUAGUGGUGGAAGGGAUCUUUCUUUGUAUCUGACAGACUUGGCAACGAGGGAAAGCGUAUUGCUUUGUAAUGAAGAUCAUCCUAUAUUGCAAUUGGCACUGCAUGACGAUGGUAUAUGGGUUGCCACAACAGAUUCUUCUCUACAUAGAUGGCCAGCUGAAGCACAUAAUCCAGUGAAAGUUCUUCAAAGAGGUGGUUCAUUUCUAGCUGGCAACUUGUCAUUUUCGAGAGCAAGGGCUUCACUUGAGGGUUCCACACCUGUUCCUGUUUAUAGGGAACCAUCAUGUAGCAUUCUUGGAACUUCAGCUAUAGUGCAGCAUGAGAUUCUAAAAAAUAGAAGGCAUAUCUUGACUAAGGAUACUGUUGGUGCAGUGAAGUUGUGGGAAAUUACAAGAGGUGUUGUUAUCGAAAACUUCGGAAUGAUUUCAUUUGAGAAGAAGAAAGAAGAAUUGUUUGAAAUGGUGAGUGUUCCUGCGUGGUUCACGGUAGAUACAAGGUUCGGGAGUUUGUCAGUACACUUAGAUACCCCGCAAUGCUUUUCUGCUGAGAUGUACUCCACUGAUCUCAGUAUUGCUGGAAAGACUGAGGAUGACAAGGUUAAUUUGGCAAGAGAAACCCUCAAAGGGUUGUUGACGCAUUGGUUAAAUAAAAGAAGGCAGCUAUUUGGAUCUCAAACUUCUACAAAUGGAGAAAUUCCAUCUGGAAAGGAUAAGUCUACGAGGACAUUAUCCUUAUCUAAAUUUGACGGGGAUGCUUCUUCUGAUAAUGAUGCUACUGUAUAUCCACCAUUUGAAUUUUCUGCAGUUGCUCCUCCUUCUAUUGUUACCGAAGGCUCUCAAGGAGGCCCUUGGAGAAAGAAAAUUACCAACCUGGUUGGAACUGAAGAUGAGAGAGAUUUCCCAUGCUGGGUUCUUGAUUGUGUGUUGAGUAAUCGCCUGCCUCCAAGGGAAAAUACCAAAUGUAGCUUCUAUUUGCACCCAUGUGAAGGUUCUACUCUGCAGACCCUUACACAAGGAAAACUUAGCGCUCCUCGCAUUUUGAGAAUACAUAAAGUUGUCAACUAUGUCAUAGAAAAGAUGCUUCUAGAUAAGUCAAUGGAUAGCUUGAAUGCGGAUGGAAAUUUCGCGAAGGGGAUGCCUCCAGUUGUUGGAGAUGGUUCUUCUCAUUUUGGGCUGAAACCGUGGCAAAAGCUCAAGCCUUCUAUAGAGAUCAUGUGCAAUAAUAAGGUAUUAACUCCAGACAUGAACUUAGCCACUGUCCAGGCGUACAUAUGGAAGAAACCUGAAGACCUUAUCCUUAACUACAGAGUGGUGCAAAGCAGGUGAUAGAAGACAUUUUGAAGAAACUUGAUAAGUCUUCAAUUGUACAUAGUAGCAGCACAUCAUGAUUUGCUGGGUUACGUCCGGCUUCAGCUUGAGUUUGAGAUAGAGCAAUAAGGGUUGAUGUGGUCUUCGGUGGUGAAGCGACUCAUCUCAUGCAAGUACACGGGGCGAUUGCUGUGAAUAUACACCAUCUACCCUGUUUGUGGAAUGCAAGAAAACCGAGCACUUACUUUGUACAUAGCAACAUCCGAUGUAUGUUGGGAACACUUGUGGGAUGUCUCCAGUUGGAUGAAUUAAUUAUAAAUUGAACUCGGGUUGCUUCCUUGAUUUAGAAAGUCUACUAGAAAAUGGACGUGACCAGCAACCAGCUGCAGUCGUAUUUGUUGGCAAGAUGCGAUUGAGGGUAUCUUGAAUUAGGUGGCGGAGUUGCUGAGCGUAUGUGUUUAGAAACACUGUUGUGGUGAGGAACAAUUCUUUAUUUCUUCAAAGAAAUAACAGGGCUCCAGCGAUCAAAUCAAUUUUUUUGGAACUUUGUUUAAUAUGUGGAUUUUCCAAUUUCUUAAGUUAUCAUCUCGGUUCAUCAACUGAAGCCUGCUGUUGGAACAAUGUCUCGAAUCGGCACCCGUCGUAGUUAUUGCGGUAGGACCAGACGCACCAACUGGAUAUCGAAUUUUCUGUGGAGACUAUGGUACGUCAAUAUAGGCUCCAUACUAUAAACUUAUUUUAUGUUCCUCCAAGGUUUUGAAAUGGGAGGUUAUAUACGUUCCAACUACUGUUUCGCUCUUCUAUAUAUUCUGCUUUGUUAAAGUGAGAUUUGAAAUUCA